rnacentral:rRNA from 1 species
GUAAGCUACUAAGAGCGAAUGGUGGAUGCCUUGACUGGUAAAGGCGAUGAAGGACGUACUAGACUGCGAUAAGCUACGGGGAGCUGUCAAGAAGCUUUGAUCCGUAGAUUUCCGAAUGGGGCAACCCAAUGUAUAGAGAUAUACAUUACCUAUAUAGGAGCGAACGAGGGGAAUUGAAACAUCUUAGUACCCUCAGGAAAAGAAAUCAAUAGAGAUUGCGUCAGUAGCGGCGAGCGAAAGCGCAAGAGGGCAAACCCAGUGCUUGCACUGGGGGUUGUAGGACUGCAAUGUGCAAGAGGUGAGUUUAGCAGAACAUUCUGGAAAGUAUAGCCAUAGAGGGUGAUAGUCCCGUAUGCGAAAAACAAACCUUAGCUAGCAGUAUCCUGAGUAGGGCGGGACACGAGAAAUCCUGUCUGAAGCUGGGUCGACCACGAUCCAACCCUAAAUACUAAUACCAGAUCGAUAGUGCACAAGUACCGUGAGGGAAAGGUGAAAAGAACUGAGGUGAUCAGAGUGAAAUAGAACCUGAAACCAUUUGCUUACAAUCAUUCAGAGCACUAUGUAGCAAUACAGUGUGAUGGACUGCCUUUUGCAUAAUGAGCCUGCGAGUUGUGGUGUCUGGCAAGGUUAAGCAAACGCGAAGCCGUAGCGAAAGCGAGUCUGAAUAGGGCGUUUAGUCAGAUGCUGCAGACCCGAAACGAAGUGAUCUAUCCAUGAGCAAGUUGAAGCUAGUGUAAGAACUAGUGGAGGACUGAACCCAUAGGCGUUGAAAAGCCCCGGGAUGACUUGUGGAUAGGGGUGAAAGGCCAAUCAAACUUCGUGAUAGCUGGUUCUCUCCGAAAUAUAUUUAGGUAUAGCGUUGUGUCGUAAUAUAAGGGGGUAGAGCACUGAAUGGGCUAGGGCAUACACCAAUGUACCAAACCCUAUCAAACUCCGAAUACCUUAUAUGUAAUCACAGCAGUCAGGCGGCGAGUGAUAAAAUCCGUCGUCAAGAGGGAAACAACCCAGACUACCAGCUAAGGUCCCUAAAUCUUACUUAAGUGGAAAACGAUGUGAAGUUACUUAAACAACCAGGAGGUUGGCUUAGAAGCAGCCAUCCUUUAAAGAAAGCGUAAUAGCUCACUGGUCUAGUGAUUUUGCGCGGAAAAUAUAACGGGGCUAAAGUAAGUACCGAAGCUGUAGACUUGACUUUGUCAAGUGGUAGGAGAGCGUUCUAUUUGCGUCGAAGGUAUACCGGUAAGGAGUGCUGGAGCGAAUAGAAGUGAGCAUGCAGGCAUGAGUAGCGAUAAUUAAUGUGAGAAUCAUUAACGCCGUAAACCCAAGGUUUCCUACGCGAUGCUCGUCAUCGUAGGGUUAGUCGGGUCCUAAGUCGAGUCCGAAAGGGGUAGACGAUGGCAAAUUGGUUAAUAUUCCAAUACCAACAUUAGUGUGCGAUGGAAGGACGCUUAGGGCUAAGGGGGCUAGCGGAUGGAAGUGCUAGUCUAAGGUCGUAGGUGCUUAUACAGGCAAAUCCGUAUAAGAAUACACCGAGAACUGAAAGGCUUUUUGAAGUCUUCGGAUGGAUAGAAGAACCCCUGAUGCCGUCGAGCCAAGAAAAGUUUCUAAGUUUAGCUAAUGUUGCCCGUACCGUAAACCGACACAGGUGGGUGGGAUGAGUAUUCUAAGGCGCGUGGAAGAACUCUCUUUAAGGAACUCUGCAAAAUAGCACCGUAUCUUCGGUAUAAGGUGUGGUUCGCUUCGUAUUAGGAUUUACUCCGAAAGCGAAGAAACUUACAACAAAGAGUCCCUCCCGACUGUUUACCAAAAACACAGCACUCUGCUAACUCGUAAGAGGAUGUAUAGGGUGUGACGCCUGCCCGGUGCUCGAAGGUUAAUUGAUGGGGUUAGCAUUAGCGAAGCUCUUGAUCGAAGCCCGAGUAAACGGCGGCCGUAACUAUAACGGUCCUAAGGUAGCGAAAUUCCUUGUCGGUUAAAUACCGACCUGCAUGAAUGGCGUAACGAGAUGGGAGCUGUCUCAAAGAGGGAUCCAGUGAAAUUGUAGUGGAGGUGAAAAUUCCUCCUACCCGCGGCAAGACGGAAAGACCCCGUGGACCUUUACUACAGCUUGACACUGCUAUUUGGAUAAGAAUGUGCAGGAUAGGUGGGAGGCUUUGAGUAUAUGACGCCAGUUGUAUAUGAGCCAUUGUUGAGAUACCACUCUUUCUUAUUUGGGUAGCUAACCAGCUUGAGUUAUCCUCAAGUGGGACAAUGUCUGGUGGGUAGUUUGACUGGGGCGGUCGCCUCCCAAAUAAUAACGGAGGCUUACAAAGGUUGGCUCAGAACGGUUGGAAAUCGUUCGUAGAGUAUAAAGGUAUAAGCCAGCUUAACUGCAAGACAUACAAGUCAAGCAGAGACGAAAGUCGGUCUUAGUGAUCCGGUGGUUCUGUGUGGAAGGGCCAUCGCUCAAAGGAUAAAAGGUACCCCGGGGAUAACAGGCUGAUCUCCCCCAAGAGCUCACAUCGACGGGGAGGUUUGGCACCUCGAUGUCGGCUCAUCGCAUCCUGGGGCUGGAGCAGGUCCCAAGGGUAUGGCUGUUCGCCAUUUAAAGCGGUACGCGAGCUGGGUUCAGAACGUCGUGAGACAGUUCGGUCCCUAUCUGCCGUGGGCGUAAGAAGAUUGAAGAGAUUUGACCCUAGUACGAGAGGACCGGGUUGAACAAACCACUGGUGUAGCUGUUGUUCUGCCAAGAGCAUCGCAGCGUAGCUAAGUUUGGAAAGGAUAAACGCUGAAAGCAUCUAAGCGUGAAGCCAACUCUAAGAUGAAUCUUCUCUAAGCUCUCUAGAAGACUACUAGUUUGAUAGGCUGGGUGUGUAAUGGAUGAAAGUCCUUUAGCUGACCAGUACUAAUAGAGCGUUUGGCUUAUCUUUA